rnacentral:rRNA from 1 species
AUUGAACGCUGGCGGCAGGCCUAACACAUGCAAUUCGAACGAGUCGCGGACGUGUUAGUAAUGUCUCGGACACUUCCUGAUGGAUAUGGAUAACUACUGGACACUGUCGCUAAUACCGCCUACCAUCACCUAUGCCCAGUGGGGAUUGGCUUGUUGUGGGGUUAACGGCUCACCAAGGCGACGAUCCCUCGCUGGUCUGAGAGGAUGACCAGCAACACUGGAACUGAGACACGGUCCAGACUCCUACGGGAGGCAGCAGUGGGGAAUAUUGCACAAUGGGCGAAAGCCGGAUGCAGCCAUGCCGCGUGUAUGAAGAAGGUCUUCGGGUUGUAAAGUACUUUAAGUGGGGAGGCGGUACCAGCAGAAGAAGAACCGGCUAACUCCGUGCCAGCAGCCGCGGUAAUAC